rnacentral:sRNA from 1 species
UGUGUGUAAUAUUGACUGUUCUCAAACCAACUUCAAUCCCCUCUGCGCUUCUGAUGGGAAAUCUUAUGAUAAUGCAUGCCAAAUCAAAGAAGCAUCGUGUCAGAAACAGGAGAAAAUUGAAGUCAUGUCUUUGGGUCGAUGUCAAGAUAACACAACUACAACUACUAAGUCUGAAGAUGGGCAUUAUGCAAGAACAGAUUAUGCAGAGAAGAGAAAGCAAGAGGAAAGUGUUUGCUACUGAGUAAUCCUGCAUUAAUAAAAAAUAAAAAUAAACAGA